AUGUCAGCAAACUGGAUGCGCACCGCGAAGGUUUUUUGCCUCAGGUCUUCUGGCCUUGAAUUGAACGCAGUUCUUAACAUCCUUAGGUGGUUUCCUUAUCUAGAAAAGCUCUACAUCAUUUUUCAAAAACACAAUGAGAAGGAUAAGAAAAAUGACCCUCAAUAUGACCCUUUACAUCCAAUCGAAUGUCUUCAGACCCAUCUCAAAAAAGUGGUGUUUAAGUCAUUCGUAGGCUAUGAGAAACAGGUUAACUUUGCGAGGUUCUUUGUUUUGCAUGCAAAAGUGCUCAAAAAGGUUGAAUUUGAAGUAUAUGGCCAGUGCAACACUAUAUCAGUGGCUUAUCAUCACACGCUGCUAAAAGUGGAAAACAGAGCUACUCGAGAUGCUCAGUUUGAAUUCAGGAGUAAACAUCGUCGUACUGAGUAUGAUGCACAUAUCCAUGAUUUGUCCGUGGCCGACCCCUUCGGACAACCAUAG
rnacentral:rRNA from 1 species